rnacentral:rRNA from 1 species
UACGGGGGGGGCAAGCGUUGUCCGGAAUCAUUGGGCGUAAAGGGCGCGUAGGUGGUUGAUCAAGUCUGGGGUGAAAUCUUUCGGCUUAACCGGAAAAGUGCCUUGGAUACUGAUCAGCUGGAGGGAGGUAGGGGCAGUUGGAACUUCCAGUGGAGCGGUGAAAUGCGUUGAUAUUGGAAGGAACGCCGGUGGCGAAAGCGAGCUGCUGGACCUCUUCUGACACUGAGGCGCGAAAGCUAGGGGAGCAAACGGG